UACGUAGGUGGCAAGCGUUGUCCGGAAUUAUUGGGCGUAAGCGCGCGCAGGUGGUUUCUUAAGUCUGAUGUGAAAGCCCACGGCUCAACCGUGGAGGGUCAUUGGAAACUGGGGAACUUGAGUGCAGGAGAGAAGAGUGGAAUUCCACGUGUAGCGGUGAAAUGCGUAGAGAUGUGGAGGAACACCAGUGGCGAAGGCGACUCUUUGGCCUGUAACUGACACUGAGGCGCGAAGCGUGGGAGCAAACAGG
rnacentral:rRNA from 1 species